CGUUUCGGCUCCCCGUUUCCGGUCGCCGCUGCCGAUAACCGUCGCCUUCAAAAGCCCCCUCUUCAAGGAUAAAACAGUACGACCUACUUGAUCGUCAUAUCUGAUUCCGAUCAAACCUUGGAAGGUGAUGUGCAGAGUGUCUGGAUCCUCUGUGAUUUCAACUACUAAUUCCACUCUCAUGGCAAUUGUAAUUGUCGAGGUGUGCACAAAUUUCUUGUCGUUGCCAAUAUCAUGCAUGCUCUUGUAGCAACCCAAUAAGGGGGUUUUGCAGAAAUAUUUAAAGGUCGUUCGAUUCUUGACUCACGGCUUUGUUGUUGUUAUUGUUCGAUUCUUUCCAAACAGAAGUGUAUCGGUAAGAAAGAGUUCAUGCUUAGCUUAAAAGUUGUGCCUGUUUAUUAGGGUUUCGAAACAGUUCUACAAUCCAUUCCCAUUGUUAAUUAUGACCGUGAAAGAUGUUGAAGACGGAAGAGCUGCGGUUUCAAGAAACCAAGAGGUCCUAAAGAGAAACUAGUCUUUACCGUGAAAAAUUAUGAUCUGGGAGAUCAUGAAUUCAUUGGUUAGAACUCUCCUAAUCAUGCUUUAUCUUCUCCUAAUCUUAUCAUUUACUCUUUCAUCUGUUCUCUGGUUAUUGAAUUGGAAAAGCAAAAUAAGAUGCUGCCAAACAAAUGAUCACACUUUUUAUCUGUGAGUCUUCUCAGUUACACUUGAAAGGGGAACACACAAAUGUUCAAUCAAUCAAUGUUGAUUCAUUUAUUGUUGGAUAGAUCAUGUUUGUCAGCAUUCGCCUUCUAUAAGCUGGAGCAAGGCGGCAAUUUCAUGUACGUACAGUUGAAGAUUGGUUGAUAUAUGAAUUCAAAAAAUGUGUUUAGUAUUUCAAUGAAGUCAUGAUAUGGAGAUUCCCUUUCUAUUUGGAACUAACUUUUGCUUAUAGUGUGUUUCAUAAUCAAUGAAUGCCUUUUCUUUCAAAGAAAAAUAUUAAUUGAUUUUGAGUUGAGGGUUUAUUUUGUGGUUUUGCCUUGGGAUUCUUGGAUAUGUGGUAAUUGUCCUACUUUCAACUAUGCAAAUAAACCAUGAACAUUAUAAAUGUGGAAAACCUCAUAUGUUCGGUUAGGUUGUGUUUUUACUCGACUAAAUUUCCCUUUGAACAUGAUUUAUCCAUCUAGUAUGUGGAUGAGAACAAUUUUUAUGAUUUAUACUUCUAUUGUAGCUCUUUAUUCGAGGACCUCAAGUUAUUGAUUAUGCUAUCGUGAAAUGAAGAAAUCUUAUAGCUAGGACUUAGAACCUUGACCAUAUGCUGUUACAGCCUCAAAAUCCAUAUCCAUUUAUUUCUUCUCAGUUCAUAUUUGAAAGACAAGGAUGAAAUAUUUUGCCUUCAACUGUUUUUGGGUGCUUCAGUACUUUCUCUACCGCCAAGGAGAACCGUAAAUUGGAGUAACUACAGACUUGACAUGGAGAUACUUCUCCAAAGCAUGCAUUCCACUGUCCCUCCCGAAUCCACUCAUCUUAUAUCCACCAAAAGGGCAAUCAUCAUCAAAUGCAAAGUAGCAGUUAAUCCAGAUGAUGCCUGCACGAAUCGAUCUUGAGACCCGGUUGGCUAUAUUGAGGUCUUUCGUCACAAUCCCAGCUGCCAGUCCAUAUCUUGUAUUGUUGGCUCUCUCAAUUGCCUCCUCGAUUGUCCUAGCAAAAUAACAAAGGUGUUUUUUGAGUUUAUGCCAAAUGUGCUAUGAUCAAGAAAGCCAUAUUAGAAACAACCUUUACAGGUAAAAAUACAGAAGUGAUUUCAUAUACUAUACCUGUUUAGCCAAGUGGGCAUAGUAGAGAGCUGUGAGU